rnacentral:rRNA from 1 species
UAAGGAAUAUUGGUCAAUGGACGCAAGUCUGAACCAGCCAUGCCGCGUGCAGGAUGACAGCCCUAUGGGUUGUAAACUGCUUUUGUACGGGAAAAAACCUCCGGUCGUGAACCGGAGCUGAUGGUACCGUAAGAAUAAGCAUCGGCUAACUCCGUGCCAGCAGCCGCGGUAAUACGGAGGAUGCAAGCGUUAUCCGGAUUCAUUGGGUUUAAAGGGUGCGCAGGCGGAAUGAUAAGUCAGUGGUGAAAUCCUACAGCUUAACUGUAGAACUGCCAUUGAUACUGUCGUUCUUGAGUACAGUUGGAGUGGGCGGAAUGUGUCAUGUAGCGGUGAAAUGCUUAGAUAUGACACAGAACACCAGUCGCGAAGGCAGCUCGCUAAACUGUAACUGACGCUCAUGCACGAAAGCGUGGGGAUCAAACAGG